rnacentral:rRNA from 1 species
UUCGGUGGGGAUUAGUGGCGAACGGGUGAGUAACACGUGGGCAAUCUGCCCUGCACUCUGGGACAAGCCCUGGAAACGGGGUCUAAUACCGGAUAUGAGCCUGGGAGGCAUCUCCCGGGUUGUAAAGCUCCGGCGGUGCAGGAUGAGCCCGCGGCCUAUCAGCUUGUUGGUGAGGUAAUGGCUCACCAAGGCGACGACGGGUAGCCGGCCUGAGAGGGCGACCGGCCACACUGGGACUGAGACACGGCCCAGACUCCUACGGGAGGCAGCAGUGGGGAAUAUUGCACAAUGGGCGAAAGCCUGAUGCAGCGACGCCGCGUGAGGGAUGACGGCCUUCGGGUUGUAAACCUCUUUCAGCAGGGAAGAAGCGAAAGUGACGGUACCUGCAGAAGAAGCGCCGGCUAACUACGUGCCAGCAGCCGCGGUAAUACGUAGGGCGCAAGCGUUGUCCGGAAUUAUUGGGCGUAAAGAGCUCGUAGGCGGCUUGUCACGUCGAUUGUGAAAGCCCGAGGCUUAACCUCGGGUCUGCAGUCGAUACGGGCUAGCUAGAGUGUGGUAGGGGAGAUCGGAAUUCCUGGUGUAGCGGUGAAAUGCGCAGAUAUCAGGAGGAACACCGGUGGCGAAGGCGGAUCUCUGGGCCAUUACUGACGCUGAGGAGCGAAGCU